rnacentral:rRNA from 1 species
GACAGAGGGUGCAAACGUUGUUCGGAAUUACUGGGCGUAAAGCGCGUGUAGGCUGCUCGGAAAGUCGGAUGUGAAAGCCCUGGGCUUAACCUAGGAAGUGCAUUCGAAACUCCCGAGCUUGAGUUCUGGAGAGGAAGGCGGAAUUCUCGGUGUAGAGGUGAAAUUCGUAGAUAUCGAGAGGAACACCGGUGGCGAAGGCGGCCUUCUGGACAGUGACGUGACGCUGGGACGCG